CGGGGCGUGGCGCAGUCUGGUAGCGCAUUCGACUGGGGGUCGAAAGGUCGCAGGUUCGAACCCUGCCGCCCCGACCA
rnacentral:tRNA from 2 species